AAGCACGAUAGGUAGCGCGUUGGACUUCUAAUCCAAAGGUCUUGGGCUCGAUUCCCAACUGAGAUG